rnacentral:rRNA from 1 species
GACGAACGCUGGCGGCGUGCUUAAUACAUGCAAGUCGAGCGAGGUCCAUCUGGUGGCAACACCAGUGAAGGCCGAGCGGCGAACGGGUGAGUAACACGUGAGCAACCUGCCCCGAAGUCUGGAAUAACAUCGGGAAACCGGUGCUAAUACCGGAUCGCCCCACCUGACCGCAUGAUCGGGGUGAAGGAAAGAUUUAUCGCUUCGGGGAGGGGCUCGCGGCCUAUCAGCUAGUUGGUGGGGUAACGGCCUACCAAGGCAUCGACGGGUAGCUGGUCUGAGGAGGACGACCAGCCACACUGGGACUGAGACACGGCCCAGACUCCUACGGGAGGCAGCAGGUAGGGAAUCUUGCGCAAGUGGG